UUGAACAUGUAUGAAAGGUAAGAAUCUUAAAAGAUAGGUACAAUUCCAGUUGUAUGGAGGUGUGUCUUACCUCAAGGAAUAAUGGCAUCAUACUAAGAAACGCAGUGAAUCCUGCAGCUGUCACCAGGUUUGGUUUGCAACCAACUGCAAGUUUGUUUUGGUACAUGAAAUGUAAGAGUCAUCACCUAAUUUCUUCUUGACUGGUGUUAUUUUAUGUGAAUUACUAGUAAGUAUGACCUGUUAUGCAUUGUUAUCUUGUAAAAAAGAGUUGUUUUUGUGGUAUAGAAUUGAUCAUCACUUUGUUUAUGUAUGUGAAGAUGUUUGGGAUUUAAUCUAAGGGCCACUGUUGCCACAGACUUACCACUGGCCACUGUCCCAAAGCUGAACCUUGGUCUUAUAAGAUGCAGGCUCAUUUUCUGAGACUUUUUUGGGGGAGAAAAAAGGUGCGUUUUAUGUCAUCAAAAACAAUAUUUUGCUCAUUCGUAGAUAUCAUUUGCAAGACUUCCAAAAUAAUGUUAAUGAUUGCAUACAUAUUUUAAACAUUUGCAACAUGCAUUCUGUAGCCAGUUCCCACCCAGUCCUUCUCACCACCUCUCCCACCACACUGCUCUUCUCCACUCAGUGUUAUUACUCCACAUCCACAGGCCAUCACUAGCAGACCUCUUGGGUGGUUUCCAAGACCCCAGCUUGGCUUUCAAGACAUUUAAGCAUACCAGGGUCUUCCUCCAGCAGCUCACCAGAAUAUAACUGGAUAACUUUCCUGCUGCCAGCACCUCCAGGCCUCUAGAGGUUGUGGCACCACAGCCUGCACAGCCCCUCAAAUCCCCAACAAGAACAAGAACACAACAGGGUAGUGGGAGUGAUGGCUUCAAGACACACUGCCACUGUACAGGGCAGCUGUUACUCUUGUAAAUCAUGUGCUGCUUACAAGACUGUGCCUAAAAAUCUGAGAGGAAAAAGUAAAAGCUCACAGGACUAGUUGACGAGACAGCUAAAUGACCCUUAUGUGAAGUUGACCAAGCAACAUCAGCGCAGGCAUUGUCCAUGAUGCUUCCUGUGUUGUGGUUCCAUCAUGGCAGGCAUGGAAGUGCUUCUCACUGCAUCACCGCCUCAUGAUCAUUGAGAGCAUGGACACAGACACUGAGGCCCUAGUGGGUACGUGGACCUCCUCAAUGGACAGAUGGACAGAGGCUGGUGUGCUGGCUACAUGUAUCAGGAGCAAAUCUCAAC